UUUGAAACCUAUUAGGGAUGGUAUGGGUCACAUUCAUGGCGACUUUUCAAACAAGAAUUAGUGAUUAAAUAUAGUUCUGAUCACAAUUUAAAUUUUUUGGUGGGAAUACUUUUUCAAUUUUUGGGGUUCUAUAAAUUGGCUACAUCUAUCAACAAUGUGAUAGCACAUAACCACUUACAUUUUUUUAGAAGACAAAAAAAGGUGAUGGAGAGGAAAACACUUGCUAGCUUGUGCUUCUUUCUCAUUGUUCUCUUAGCUGCUCGUAAGUUUAUAUUAUAGUAAUUUGGGAUAUCAUUUUGUAUUUUAGUCAUUGUGUUUAACUCAUAAAACCAUUUUUUAGUACAAUACUUUUUAUUAGAAAAUAAAAACAUGUAUGCAAGCUAUAAUUUAGAGUUUAAUUUUUAUAUGUUUACGAUUUUUAAAGAAUAAUUUUUCAGUUCAGUAAUUAUAAAUAUAUAUACAUAUAUUUUUUUUGAGAGAAUGAAUAUAUCUAUAUAUGUAUGUACAUAUACAUAUAUAUAUAUAUAUAUAUAUAUAUGAUUAUUCAUGAUUGCUUGACACUUUCAAUCAGAUUUUUAAAUACUUGAUUGUAAAUUCUAAUUGAAAUAAUCUUGGUAAAAUUUACUUUUCUCUCGAUCAAAUUAUAUAUCACUAUGGCCAUCUUCCCUUAUGAAUUGAAGAAGGAAAACAUAAAAACAAAUCUUAAAUUUGAUGCAACAAUUUUUUUUCUAUUUAGAAAAAAAUAG
rnacentral:lncRNA from 1 species